GAACAACAGAUUGAAAGAAGGGGAAGAUCUCCUCUGUAAUGGCAUAUCGUUUGCCUUGCCGACCAUACUGAUAUAUCACCACCCAUAAACUGAGUCC